AUUGAACGCUGGCGGCAGGCCUAACACAUGCAAGUCGAGCGAGCGGCGGACGGGUGAGUAAUGUAUGGGGACUGCCCGAUAGAGGGGGAUAACUACUGGAAACGGUGGCUAUUACCGCAUAUUGUCGGAUACUCCAUAUGGGAGUAGAUAGUAGGUAAGGUAAUGGCUUCCCUCGGCGACGAUCCCUAGCUGGUCUGAGAGGAUGAUCAGCCACACUGGGACUGAGACACGGCCCAGACUCCUACGGAGGCAGCAGUGGGGAAUAUUGCACAAUGGGCGCAAGCCUGAUGCAGCCAUGCCGCGUGUAUGAAGAAGGCCCUAGGGUUGUAAAGUAUUUUCAGUCGGGAGGCGUUACCGACAGAAGAAGCACCGGCUAACUCCGUGCCAGCAGCCGCGGUAAUUC
rnacentral:rRNA from 1 species